AACCCCCAAGUCUAAUCAGCAAUCAAAGAUAUUCAAAUAUCACUAAAAUGAUAAAAGAGUAGAAAUUCUAAUGCUAAUCAAAGUGUUUAUUCAUCAUAACAUAAUACUAUAGCAGAAAAACAAAAUAGGAACUAACCACAAAUACCAAAACAAAAAGUCAAGACUCAAGAGCAGAAAAAGAGAACCACAAGUAGAGAUUGCAAAACUCGCGGAAUGGAGAUUGCAAAACUCGUGGGAUGGGUAAUAGAUCAUUGGAUUGUAACGAGUUAGCAGUUCAAGUGCACUAUUUUUUGUAAAAACCGGUGGUAACCCAUUCUUAGUUUACCCAAGUACUCUCAUAUCGCCCAGUAGACCUGUCCACUGAUUUAAACCUUGACCAAAAAAACUCAUAGUACAAAAUUUUGAC
rnacentral:lncRNA from 1 species